rnacentral:rRNA from 1 species
AUUGAACGCUGGCGGCAGGCCUAACACAUGCAAGUCGAGCGGAUGAAGGGAGCUUGCUCCUGGAUUCAGCGGCGGACGGGUGAGUCAUGCCUAGGAAUCUGCCUGGUAGUGGGGGAUAACGUCCGGAAACGGGCGCUAAUACCGCAUACGUCCUGAGGGAGAAAGUGGGGGAUCUUCGGACCUCACGCUAUCAGAUGAGCCUAGGUCGGAUUAGCUAGUUGGUGGGGUAAAGGCCUACCAAGGCGACGAUCCGUAACUGGUCUGAGAGGAUGAUCAGUCACACUGGAACUGAGACACGGUCCAGACUCCUACGGGAGGCAGCAGUGGGGAAUAUUGGACAAUGGGCGAAAGCCUGAUCCAGCCAUGCCGCGUGUGUGAAGAAGGUCUUCGGAUUGUAAAGCACUUUAAGUUGGGAGGAAGGGCAGUAAGUUAAUACCUUGCUGUUUUGACGUUACCAACAGAAUAAGCACCGGCUAACCUCGUG